GACGAACGCUGGCGGCGUGCCUAAUACAUGCAAGUUGAGCGCUGAAGGUUGGUACUUGUACCAACUGGAUGAGCAGCGAACGGGUGAGUAACGCGUGGGGAAUCUGCCUUGGAGCGGGGGACAACAUUUGGAAACGAAUGCUAAUACAGCAUAAAAACUUUAAACACAAGUUUUAAGUUUGAAAGAUGCAAUUGCAUCACUCAAAGAUGAUCCCGCGUUGUAUUAGCUAGUUGGUGAGGUAAAGGCUCACCAAGGCGAUGAUACAUAGGCGACCUGAGAGGGUGAUCGGCCACAUUGGGACUGAGAAACGGCCCCAACUCCUACGGGAGGCAGCAGUAGGGAAACAUCGGAAAUGGACGAAAGUCUGACCGCGCAACGCCGCGUGAGUGAAGAAGGUUUUCGGAUCGUAAAACUCUGUUGGUAGAGAAGAACGUUGGUGAGAGUGGAAAGCUCAUCAAGUGACGGUACCUACACAGAAAGGGACGGCUAACUACGUG
rnacentral:rRNA from 1 species